AUUACUAAGAUAACCAGCUAACUUGAUGUACCGACCUUUUCCCUUCCUAUAGUGCCUUUGCCCGCUAUCCUAAUGCAAUAGUCGUGCAUUAUUUCUGUUCCAAAGAAGUGAGUGCAGUAGACACCUGAAAUGAUUGUCAUGUGGACUGCAGAAGCCAUGGUGCUUACCUGGAAGGUUGGCCCCAGAGCACUUCAGCAUGAGGAAGAAUGAAAGCUAAAUAGCAACGAGAUGCCAUCAUGCUCCAGUUUUUGUAGCAGUUCUCGUUCCAAGGAAGACCCAAGUCGAAUAAGGCAAAAAUGCAUUUUGUGUUGCAUUCUGUAUUCUGAUCAUAGUUGGGGGAAAUUAUAUGAUUGUUUCAUCAGCAUUACAUUGAGAUCCACUUUUAUCAGUCAUGUGGAGGCAGGCACUUCCAGAGAGGCUGUACCCAGAUUUCCUUACUGCAAAUGUUGGAUAUAAAUAGGCAUUGGCCAUCGAACCUUAUCCUUUGUAUUUGGGAGUGGUUAUCACCACUGAUAAACUAGUCUAAUAACAAUAUGAUCAGAAAUGGAAAACGUGUUUUUUUGUUUUUGUUUUGAGAAGCAUGUAAAUAUGAAUGAGCAUAAUAUUUGCACUGUGUAUAGUGACUUUGAUUAUGAGUAGAAUGAAAAGUGACAAUGAUUUUUCUGAAGGGAGGGGGAAGUAGCAUCUGCACUUGUACCAAAAAGUUAAAAGAGCAAAAUCAGAUUUCAAAGAGGGUGUGUGUUUUAUAUUGAGCACCUGGUCUACACUUUGGGGUCACUAUUGCGUUGAAGUGGUUGUCUUCAUGAAUACUCCAGCUUUUGAGUAAUGCAGACACUUCCAUUGCAGUAUUUUUAGUUCCCUAUUAUGUUCCCACUGGUGCCCCUCUGUAGCUUUGUUGUACCCUCAUUGCUGUGAUACUGAAAAAUCCUGGGCCCUUGCAGGUUGUAAUAUUGUCUUAACAUUAUUUUUUAAAGCCUAAUCUUUUGUGAGGGUGAUAAAGAUGAAUUUGAGCGUUCAGCAGCAGGUGAACAAAGGCUUGUGAUAGGAGCAAUAGGUUCAGAGGAUCUGAAUGGGGAAGUUAUCUCAACAUCCCAUAACAGCUAUUUAUUAUUUUUAGUUUUUUGUGACUGUAAUCAUUCAGUGAUUUAUAGUUUUUGGCAGAAAGACACCAUAGUUGAGGAAAUAAAAGUUAAGGAAAAGCCUUUCUAUGCUGUUUUGAUUUCACUACAGUCAUACCUCAGUUUGCGACUGCAAUUUGUUCCGGGGAGCCGGUCGCUCCCCGAGUUCGUCGUAAACCGAGGGGCUCUUCUGCGCAUGCGUGAAGUGCCGAUAGAGCGCUUCUGCACAUGCACAAAUCGCUUCUGUGCAUCCGCGCGCCGUGGAACCCGGAUAUAAACAUUUCCGGGUCCGCGGCAGUCGCAAACCAAUCGGUCGCAAAUGGAGGUGGUCGCAAACCGAGGUAUAACUGUAUGUGCUUGGUAAGAUCCCAAUAUGAGUGAAGCACUAGGAUAAAUUUAGUGUGUAAUUUGAUUUGCUGCAAAACAGCUUGGCCUUUUCUAGGAGCUGCUUCCCUGGCUACCUUAAGUACAUCUUCUGGUGAAGUCUAUCCUCAAGGUCACGUCUAUUUCUGUGUUAUGUGCAGUGAAUACCAACUGUGUCUUACUGCUGGGUUUGGGAUUUGUUCUUUUGCUAAGAUUAAACUGAUUUUUGGUACUUUGUUCCCUUAAAUCCAUACAGUGUCAAUGCAUUAUGUUUGUUGCAUUUGUUCAGCUUCCUAGCCUAGACAGGUACUGCAGGUGAAGACUACACAAGAUAUUCAUAUGUAAAGGACAGCAAACCGAAGUGUUUACAUAGAAACUUUUAUUUGUGCAGUCCAUUCUGACACAGUUUAAUGAUAUGUCUGCUGCCAGUAAAGCCACAUGCUCCACUGAGGCAUCUCAAGUGUACUUUUCUCCUUCACAGAAAAGCUUUUAUGUGCCUCGAUUCAGCUUCAUUACAUACCUUCUGCAGAGAAGUGGCUUACGCUAUAAUUGCCUGCUGGUAGCCUUGCACAGUGUCUGGAAUUCACUAACUGUACAACAGGUUAAUUUGAAGCAAUAAAUUAUUAUAAAUAUUAUAAAACCUGCAUAUUCUUUCUUCCCUUAAAAUAAAGUUUUAUAUUGUACUUCC